ACCUGGCUAGCUCAGUCAGUAGAGCAUAAAACUCUAAAUUUCAGGCUCAUUGAGUCAUGGGUUGAAUCCCCAUGUUGGAUG